UCGAAGAAUAAUUAGAAGUAAAAGAAAUAAAGUCACAUUUGGUGAAAAAGGAGUUAAAAUGACAGUUAAGGAGUAAAAAUGCGGGUAAAUAAAGUUACCCGAAAGUAAAAAGUAAAAUUAUAAAUUUUAGCAUAAAAAUAUUCUGGACUAGUGUGCAAAGUUUAGUAAUGAAUGGAGGUGUGUAGAUAGAUAAACCUUUACCCAGUUAAAAUAAGUUAACUUUAUAAAAGCCAUAACUCCCUUUAAAGUUCUCUCUCAUGCGUUGCUUUUCUUCAUUCUUCUCGUCAUUCCCGUGGUUGUCUCACAUGGAAGGUUUGGCUUAGGUUUCAUUUUGUUUUCUUUCUUCCUUCCAUUCUCACUCAUUUGAUCAUCAAAAAGCUUUAUGCUACACAUGAAACUCAUAGGAAAAGGUCCAAUGAAUCCAUUCCCACCAUUAGUUUGAACUAUCAUUGUUUGUGUGAGGAGAUAUUCUCUUCCCCCUUUGCGUGGCACUAUUCAUCAAGAAGGCAAAAUGGAGCUUUUGAUGGAGAUUCUCUUGGUGAAUGUCUUCUAGGUUUUGGAUAGGUGAUUAGAGGUGUGCCUAGGGAUUGAGAAGGAUCGGAAAUCUCUUGAAGCGAUAAAAGUAACUUGUUCCACAAGUAAGCGUAUUGGUAAAGCUUCAAGAGGUGCCCAGAUUCCCGGUGAGUCCUCACUAGGCAGGGACACGACACGUGGCUGAGGCAGUUGACAGAUUGGAUUUUGAGUGGCUGUAGGCUACUACCUUUUUGGAGUGUUUGAUGUAUUUUAGUAUUUUCGCAUUUGAUGGAUCAUGAUAUUGAUCCUUUAUUGUGUAUAUGGCCUGUAUAUGUUUUGUACAUGUCUGUCGCUUUGAUGCAUGUACAUUUGGGUAUUCAGGCACGUUAUAUGAUGAGGUAGUAUUCAGAUAUGUUUACGUGUUGGAUUGCAUGCUGUUAGAUAUAGUGGCACUGAGCCAAGUUAUGCAUGCGCCCAUGGAUGGGCAUUUGAUUAUAUUUGUAUAAACUGUUUAUCAGGAAAUGCUUCUG